GAUGAACGCUGGCGGCGUGCCUAAUACAUGCAAGUCGAGCGAACGGACGAGAAGCUUGCUUCUCUGAUGUUAGCGGCGGACGGGUGAGUAACACGUGGAUAACCUACCUAUAAGACUGGGAUAACUUCGGGAAACCGUAGCUAAUACCGGAUAAUAUUUUGAACCGCAUGGUUCAAUAGUGAAAGACGGUCUUGCUGUCACUUAUAGAUGGAUCCGCGCUGCAUUAGCUAGUUGGUAAGGUAACGGCUUACCAAGGCAACGAUGCAUAGCCGACCUGAGAGGGUGAUCGGCCACACUGGAACUGAGACACGGUCCAGACUCCUACGGGAGGCAGCAGUAGGGAAUCUUCCGCAAUGGGCGAAAGCCUGACGGAGCAACGCCGCGUGAGUGAUGAAGGUCUUCGGAUCGUAAAACUCUGUUAUUAGUGAAGAACAUAUGUGUAAGUAACUGUGCACGUCUUGACGGUACCUAAUCAGAAAGCCACGGCUAACUACGUG
rnacentral:rRNA from 1 species